UGAUUCUGAAUGUAGAAGAACAAGUAAGAUAAAAGUCUUAAUUUUUCUGAAAGGUAGAAAUUAUAUUUAAAUUCUUAUAAUAGUUAAUCAACAAAAAAAGAAAACCACAUAUACUAUAUACUCUUUUAUAAAAUAAUGCAGUUUAUGAUGGAAAUUUCCCUAUGGAAAUCUUAUCUCCAUGCAAUUGUUCUCAUUUUGUCUUCAUUUACAGUCAGACCAUCACAGUUCUGUUAUCAGUUCAUUUCUAUUAGCUUUAAAUAUUACUCACAAAAGUAAUAAUCACCUAGCACCGCUUGUGUGCAAGAGAUGUUGCUGAAUAGUUGCUAAAAUGUUUCACUAAUGAGUAUGUUUGAUUUUUUUUUGUUGAAGCCAAUACAUUUCCUUAAUGUGUAUAUAUACAUAAGUGGGUGUGUUUAUGAUUAUACCAGGUAUAAAGAAAUUUACAUUGGGUUGGAUUUUUUAGCCCUAACACAGUAUGUAAAUGUCAUCACCCAGUGUGGUUUCUUAGACAUUAACUUUACUUGUCUUAAAACAACAUAGUAUUUUGUAACAUAGUUGAACAGUAAUCUUCAUGCAGAUGUUUUCAUAAAUUCAAAAUUUUACCAUUUAAAUAGUACAGCAAUAAAUAUCUUUUGAAAAUACAUGGCUUAGAAUUCAAUGACUCUAGGAUGGAGUCACAGCUAUGAAAUCAUAAAAUAAGUAGAUAAAAAAUAAAUAUAUCUUUUAAUUUCUUAGUCACUUCUAUUUGUUGCCUCAAAACAUGGCUCUAAUUUUAUACCAAGAAACAUAGUGAUAUUCUUAUCUUUCUCUCUCUGACAUUAGAACAUUAAUUUGUUUAAAUCUAGUAUAUUAAAGUUGUAAAUAUAUUUUACUUAAUCACUAGUAAAAUGCAAUGUUUCUGUAUUUUAUUAUUUGUAUUACUUUUCAUUUGAGUUGUUCUUUUCCUAAAUUUGUUGAAAUGAGUGUAUAUAGGGGGCAUAGAAUGGGAUUGAUGACUGAACCCAAGGUCUCAGACAAGGUUAGUUGGUACUCCAUCCAUAUGCCACAUUCUAAUACAUCUUUGCCUAAGUUUUGGAGAAACCUGUUUUAUAAUGUUAUCUCUACUUUAUGUUUUAGGUAAAUAUGAUAUCCCUUUCCCAUUUUAUAACAGGAUAAACUGGGAUGUAAAGAAAUGAUGUCAUUUUCCAAGGGUCAGGCAGGGUCUCCCACUGAAUGUGCAGUUCAUCAGUUAUGCCAGACUGCCUGACUAGAAACCUUCUAGGAUGGAACUGUCUCCACUCCUUGCAUCCUCCAACUCUGGGGUCAUAAAUAUGCACUGGUGUGUCUAGUUAUAAUGUGGGUGUCAAGGAUCCAAACUCUUCAUGUUUAUUCAUGUUUUUAUUCACAGAUCCAGUCAUCUCUCAAACUCUAAAUUGUAUUGUUGUUUUUGGUUUUUUUUUCUAUGUUUAUGGGAAGGUAGGUGGGUUUGUGACAAUAUCAUCUUUAUUGUUGUCCAUCUUAACUUCAGGUCCAGUUGAAAAUGGCCUGAAAAGUUUGUCUACCUCAUAUUGAUAAAAAAGGACUAAUUAAGUAUUGAAAGAAUCCUACUUAAAUUUAAGUUUUCAGUUCAAACCUGCUUAAGAAAAUUCCAUCCUAUAGCCCAAGUGUUAAAUAAAAUAGAAAUUACUAUGUAUUGUACAAAAAUAAAUAUAGGACUCCACAUUCUCCUAAUUCUUUUACUGACAACCAUUGUUUUAAAUGCAAACAAAUAAACUCUCAAAAUAAUUGUUAAGAUGA